UGCCUAUGAUGAAUCUCCAUGCUAAUACUGAUGCUGCAGCAAAGUAUCUGCAGGUUCUUUGUUGGCAGCGGCUGAGUGUAAUAUACUUCUCAAACAGUGAAAUCUGAGGCCA